AAGAGUCCCUUGGGAAAACGAUACUCGGACUUAACGUUUAUAUAUUACUUGAUAACGAUCUGGUACACUUGUCAGGGGCUUAACAAGUUUUUGGCGCCGUUGCCGGGGACUCGUGGUUUAUUUUUUUUAGUAGUGUAAAUUGAUUAAGUUUCACUUGUUUAUAUAUAUUUUGUUUUUGUUUUUGUUUUUGUUUUUAUAAAAGUGCUUCUAGGGUAUUUGUUUCUUGUUUAUGCAGGAGGUCAUUCAUACUAGAAGUAAGAAAAACUAGCAACCACUUCUUGAAGGACUGACAGACAGAAGGGGAAAGAGAG
rnacentral:lncRNA from 1 species